GUGUUGAAAAAAGUUAGUGGUGAAAUCCCAGAGCUUAACUCUGGAACUGCCAUUAAAACUUUUCAGCUAGAGUAUGAUAGAGGAAAGCAGAAUUUCUAGUGUAGAGGUGAAAUUCGUAGAUAUUAGAAAGAAUACCAAUUGCGAAGGCAGCUUUCUGGAUCAUUACUGACACUGAGGAACGAAAGCAUGGGUAGCGAAGAGGAUUAGAUACCCUCGUAGUCCAUGCCGUAAACGAUGUGUGUUAGACGUUGGAAAUUUAUUUUCAGUGUCGCAGCGAAAGCGAUAAACACACCGCCUGGGGAGUACGACCGCAAGGUUAAAACUCAAAUGAAUUGACGGGGACCCGCACAAGUAGUGGAGCAUGUGGUUUAAUUCGAAGAUACGCGCAGAACCUUACCAACACUUGACAUGUUCGUCGCGACUCUAAGAGAUUAGAGUUUUCGGUUCGGCCGGACGAAACACAGGUGCUGCAUGGCUGUCGUCAGCUCGUGUCGUGAGAUGUUGGGUUAAGUCCCGCAACGAGCGCAACCCUCACUUUUAGUUGCCAUCAUUAAGUUGGGCACUCUGAAAGAACUGCCAGUGAUAAGCUGGAGGAAGGUGGGGAUGACGUCAAGUCCUCAUGGCCCUUACGUGUUGGGCUACACACGUGCUACAAUGGUAUCUACAACAGGAAGCAAGACUGCGAGGUCAAGCAAAUCCUUAAAAGAUACCUCAGUUCGGAUUGCACUCUGCAACUCGAGUGCAUGAAGCUGGAAUUACUAGUAAUCGUGGAUCAGCGUGCCACGGUGAAUGCGUUCCCGGGUCUUGUACACACCGCCCGUCACACCAUGGGAGUUGGUUCUACCUUAAGGCAAGGUUUUAAACCCUUGACCACGGUAUAGUCAGCGACUGGGGUGAAGUCGUAACAAGGUAGCCCGUA
rnacentral:rRNA from 1 species